rnacentral:rRNA from 1 species
CACGUAGGGUGCGAGCGUUGUCCGGAAUUAUUGGGCGUAAAGAGCUCGUAGGCGGUGUGUCGCGUCGGCCGUGAAAACCUGCAGCUUAACUGUGGGCGUGCGGUCGAUACGGGCAUCACUGGAGUUCGGCAGGGGGAGACUGGAAUUCCUGGUGUAGCGGUGAAAUGCGCAGAUAUCAGGAGGAACACCGGUGGCGAAGGCGGGUCUCUGGGCCGAUACUGACGCUGAGGAGCGAAAGCGUGGGGAGCGAACAGG